GAAGGGAGCGACCACUUCUUUGUUUUUAAAGAGACCCAGGCUAUUUAAUUAAAAACGAAGUUGUUCUGUCUUUUAUUAAACGAACAAUAACAACUAGGGUUUUAAAGCAGAGCAUCUGAGAGCAUUAGACUAGGGUUUUUCUUCUUCAACUUCAACUUCAACUUCAAGUUUUCAACAGCAACAAGUAUGUUCUGAUUUUCUCUUUUUCUUUCACUAUUUCAACGUCCAAAUAGCAGCGAAAUGUUGGCGAAAUUUUUUUUUACCUUCGGUUCUUUCUCAGAAUUGAUGCCAAUCCUUGGGUUCUUCUUUCUCUGCCCAGUUUUUAACAGAGAAAAACUGCCCUUCCUCUAAUUUUUAUAUCCUUUACAUUGAAGUAUUGAACAUUUGCUUACAAUUACAUGUGUUGUCUAUGUAGUAUUUAUUUUAAUUUUUUUUAAAAUUCCAUUUCACUUCAAAAAAGCGAGCGCUUCGCUUCUCGCUUUAAGCGAAAUGAGGGUUGACGUUUUUCCUCGCUUCACGCUCUUCACAACACUGAAAAUCAUAAACAAUCCAAAGGUAAAUUUUCUUAAAAACUUUCACGAGUAUUUUAUCAAAAGGUAAUAUAAGCAUACAACUUCUUUUUUUAUUUUCAUCUACAUGAAAAAAACUAUACUGUUUUCAAUUAAUUAUUUUCCAAAUCCAAACGCCAGAGAUAAUUAUAAGAAGAAAUUAAGCAAGAAGCGGAUUAAUAAUAUUCUGGAAAAGGAAGAUUUAGCAUGCAACUGAUGGUUGGCAGAAGGCAUCAGUAUAUAUUCCUUUGCUUGGGUGUAAUAUUUUUUCUAAAGCAGGAGAAGAACAGUAAUAAAAAUAGAAAAAAGGGGGAAAAGAGAAAAAAUAUUCUUUGUAUUGGCUUGAGUAAUAACAUGGAAUAGUAGUGUUUGCCUAAAAUAGGUACAUUAAGCUAAAUUUACGAAUAAGGAAGAAUAAAAUUGGUUUAGCAUAUUAGAAUGUAGGGAUUUUCAUCUCAAGCUGUGGCAUCAAUAACUUUGGCAAAAUAAAUACAUUUUGCUAAAAAUAUGAUACUUCUUAAUUAGAAGAUAGAGUUUCAUGUUGCAGAACAAAGUUAUCCCAAUGUCAUCUAAUGAAAUUCGAUCAUUUUGCUGUUAAAUGUGUGAUUAUCUCAUCUAAAAGUUAAAGCGAUCAGAGAAAGCACACUUAUAUUUACUUAAUUAUAUCUUCAACACACUCGCUCCUUGUGCGGAUUUAAUUUAAUUAUUUUCAUGAGCGAAGCAUGUGAAAAUUCUUUUUUAAGACUCAACUCUGAAACCUUUGGUUACUCUAAUACAAUAUUGAAUUGUGUGAUCAUAUCAUCUAAAAAUUCAACACAUUUUUUGGAAUCUUAUAAGUCUUAUAAUUUCUCAUGAUCAAUUAAAGCAAGUAAAAGGCGACCGAUGCACAAGACAUCCCGCGUUCAUAAGAGAUAAUGCUAAUACGCUGGGUCCGAAAAAAGACCGCAACCCAAGAGAUAUGAUGCAGAUAGGUUAUGCUAAUGCAAAUACUAAUUGCUGCUUUCACGGCUCGAUCUCGUAUCAACUAAAGCAAGUAACGUUAAUAAAGUGUCAAAGUUUGUCCAAGGUCUCCAAAUCAUCAUUUAGCAUAGCUUCACAAUAAUCACCAUUUGAUGUGUCAAAUCAACUGAACCAAUUUGACAGACAAGAAAGGCAUUGAAAUGAAGGAUAUUGAAAUAUUAUAUGGGACCCUCAAUAUUAGGUAAUUUGAUGUGUUAAAUCAUUUAAAUCACAAUACACAAACAAAAAGUAGUCCUAUGCUUACGUCCAAAACAUCAUGUUAAAAAUUCGGUUCUAUGCCUAUUCUUUCUUUUUUCCUUCUAAUUUUGUUAUCCUUUUAGUCUCUACCAUCCACUUAACUCUCUCAAAAUUCUAUAUAUACUUUCACUCACUUACAUGUACUAGCAACCUCUUAACUUAAAUAGUUUUGAGAAUACUCAUUUCUCCCCUUUCCCUUCGUUUUCUUCAAAUCUUUAAUUCAAGCAAUUACCUUUGAGUCACUAAUAAUGGCAUGCUUGAAACUCUCCAAAGAAGUUAGUACUCACCAUCUUUUUUUUUUCUUGAUAUAUUUUUAGAAAGAUUGUUAGUUGUAUACUAUAAGUUUGAGUCUUAUAUCUUAUUCGCGAGAAUUUCUAUUUUCCGAUAUUGUUUGUUCUUUAAAUGGCUAAACACACCUAUCUCACAAAUAGAGCCCAAAAAAAGAUCAUUUGUUCUUUCUACUUCUUAGUGCCUACCACUUACCAAUCUUUGGUUCUUUUCUUGAAGACAGAAGGGUAAAUGAAGUGCAUAUCCAUUUCUUCUAUGCAAAUGUUUUCUCAUGCAAAGAACUGUAUAUAAAUAUAAAUUUAACUUAUAUACACUGUCCGUAUAAAUAAUAUUUACUUUAUUACAUUUUAAUAUAUUAUAGUACGUAACUUACUUUAUUUUUCAGGUUACUAGCUAAUGUCACUUUUAUAGAAAGUUAUUCGUGUUAUUUUUUAAGGGACUUUACGGUACAAAAAUUGUCAAUAUGUAAAAGUUAAACUUAAUUAAUAUAAAUAAAUGAUCUAACACUUCAUUAGAGUUCACUAAAUUUACUAUAUAUUUUUUUCUUUUGUCUUUUAGGUGAAAAUGAUGAAAGGGGAAGNNNNNNNNNNNNNNNNNNNNNNNNNCCCCACACACACACACACAGAAAUUAAUCAUAUAUUAAAAGUCUUAUAAUUUAUCUCUGAAAAAAGAAAAGGACAUAAAAUUAUGAUAUCUGCAUCUGCUUAUCUCUCUUUUGAGUUAUAUCCAGAUUAAGAGUAUUAUUAUUAUUUAUGAUAAGUCACAGUUUUUAUACAUGGUAUAUACUGUUAGAAUCUACAUCAAUUAAGUGAAUGGGUCAUAAUCUGCCUAUAUAGUUUGAAUAACUUCACCACGAGUGAAGUACACGAACAAUCUUUGGUUUGUUAUUUAGGAAUUAGUCAAUACUUAUUUUAUUCUGAAAAUUUGAAAUAAAAAUCUUAAUUUUGGAAUAAUUCAGAACAUUUAUAUUAUAAAAAUUUAAACUGAAAAAUUAAAAUUCAGAACACAUUGACUAAUUCCUAAAUAUCAGCCCUUUAGAGUAACUACCUGGAGAUAUUUCUACCUUCACCACGUAGAUAUUCGACUAUCCAAUAUAGAGAUAUUCGGGUUAUAUUAUUCUAGGUUCAAGAUAUUCAGUCAUGAGAAUAAAUGUCAGAAUCUUAUGGUAUAAACUACAUCGUUUCAGAUUAUCCUAAUUAAUUCUCAUUUAAUUCUUUGUAAUGGAAAAACAAAUAAAAGAAAGGUUGAUAAUGGUGGAAUAAGGUGAGGUAAUAAACGAAGCCACAUAUCAUUUGUUGGGAAGCUAGAAACUGACAAGAGUGUUAAAAGGCCAAAGCCUAACACUUUUCAGAAUAACAAAGCCGUGUGUCAAAAAAUUCGAGAGCUAUUGAUUUGGCCUAUUUGAUAGCUUUCACAUAUAUACAGGUACAAGGUCUUUAUCAUAUAAAGAACCUAGUGGAAUGUAUGAGAUUCUUUCAUUUAUAAUUAAGGGUUACAAGUUUAAAUACUGAAAAUGAUUUUUUUUUAAAUAAAAAGCAAUUUUUUCCUUUAACACACGGUAUGAAUUAGCUAAAUUUAUAGGUAACAAAUAUCAAAUGAUUGUACGAAAAUUUUCCAAAAAAUAUAAAUAGGUACAUUUGGCUCCUCCUAAUGGGUAGGGUUUUUGUCUAUAAUAGCAAAUUUUUUGUGGAAGACGAGGAGGGAUAAAGAAGUGACGAGAAAAGCAUGCACUAUUGGGAAAAGACAUCUUUGACACAUACCUAGGAAAUGAAGUGGUGGGGUUACCACGUCAUCCUUGACAAACUCUGAUACUUGGUGGGUGGGUGGGUGGGGCAAUUAUGUGAUCUGGACAAUCAAUUAUCCCUAACUUUUUGCCUUCUCAUAUACUCUCCCCCGUCAAUAAAUGUUUUUGUUUUUUUUCACAUAUAUUAAAAAAUUCACCUUUUAACAUUAAUUAUCAAUGAAGUUGAUUAUAUUAACAUUUACUAUCUCUUCAUAUAAACACUUCUAACACAUACUCCUACAUUAUUUUACUCCAAGGGCAAUAUAGGAAAAAAAUAAUUAAUUCAUUCUUGAAAUCUUAAAAAAUCACUUAUUUUAGACCACAAAAAAAAAAGCCAAAAAAUCACUUAUUUUGAACCGGAAGGACUAUUUAUUUAUAGCCCGUUUGGCCAAGCUUUUUUUUGAGCUAAAGUGUUUUUUUGGUCAAAGAUUGAAGCUACUCAAAAGUGUUUUUCAAAUUAACUAGUCAAACACAAACUGCUUCUCACCAAAAAAAAAAUACUUUUGAGUCUGAGAAAAGCCCUUCUCAAAAUAAGCUAAUUUUAAAAGUUUGAUCAAACAGACUAUUUAUACAAUGUACUAGGAUGUAUAUACGACUCCUUUAGAUCAUAAGAUGAUAAAAAGUAAGAAAACGAUUUUUACAAUAUCAAUAAUUCGGACAGGUGAAUAGGAUAGGUUAUGAUGCUCCAUACUCAAAUAGUGGAGAUUUACUAAAAAGUAUUGCAUAAAACAUCAAGCAACUCUACUUACUAGAAUUAAAAUUAAUUUUCAUUGCGAUUCCACGACCUACUCUUUGGUGCUUUUUGUUUCUCUAAUAAAGGAAGCUCAAUACUUAGGCUUUUACAAAAAGAAUGACGGACAUGGAGUCCGAUCGUCAAGUCAUAUAUUUUUUUUUGUGAAUUUAGACGUUGAUUUCUUAAUAUUCUUGUAAUAAUAAGUAUUAUAAAUCAUAAUAUUUAUAGUUAAAAAAAAUAUUUUAAAAAUCGUAAUCAAAGAAAAUAUUAAUUGAUAGAAACAAGGGCAAAGUUAGUUUAUUGCUUACGGUUCAGCAUAACCUUUUAGCUUAGCAUUUUAUAUUUGUGUUAAAGAAUCCACUUAAUAUGUACAAAUAAUUUAUUAACUACUUAGUAAACCGCCCUUUUUAAACUCCAAAACCCAUAAACUCAAAAUUCUAGCUCUGACUCUAAAUAAAACUUAAUAGAAAAAGGGGACAGAUGAGGAUUUAUAUUCACCCACCAGAUAAGGGUGCUGAUGGGUGUGUGGUAGUCUGGUAGAGAUGGUGUAUUUACUUGCAAAACAAAAUUGCAAGAGUUUCGAAGAUAGUAUAGAGAAUUUGUUUCACGUCAUCUCCAACCCUUGCCUCCAUUUUCUCCUCCAAAAUGGAGUAAAGUUACUCCAACCAUUACUCUAUUCUUUGCUCCAAAAAAGAAUAUUCUAUUUUAUAUUCUUCUCUCUCUUCAACAUUAUUUUAUUAUCUUUUUGUUUAAAUUUUAUUUUCUUAUUCUAUUAAAGAAAUUCUAUCUUUUUUUUUUUUCCAUAUUCAUCACAUAUAAUUUAUAUUCCUUUCUUACAUUAUAAUAAAAUUCAGAUUAACUACUACAUAAAUAUUCAACUUCCACCUCUCUCUAUAUGCUCCCAUAAUUGAUCUAUUAAUGCAUUACGAAGUACAAUUUUAAUGUAUUUUCAAUUUUCACUUUUCAAUUUUAGCAACAUCUAAUAUUUUAUAUUCGCACCUUUCAAUUUUAGCAACAUUUAUAACUUGUUUGGCCAAGCUUCUCAAGAGGCCAAAAGUGCUUUUUUUCUCAAAAACACUUUUUUUUCCUAACUUGAGGUGUUUGGCCAAGCUUUUUUGGGGGAAAACAUAUUUUUGGGAAGAAGCAUAAACAGUUCCUGAGAAGCAGAAAAAAGUAAUUUCUUCCCAAAAGCAGAAGUAGAAACAGUUUUGACUUUUCUUCUUACCAAAAAUACCCUUAACAAAAUAUAGUAUAUACUAAAAUAACCGUUAAACCUAAUACUUAGGAUAUUAAUGUAUAAAUAUUUUUUAUUAUUUUUAGGAUAGCUUUCUAAUAUAUAGUGACUUUAGGGGUGAAUGCUUUUAUAUUUAUUGAAUGAUUUUUUAUAUAUUUAACUUAUAUUAAAAGAAUUAAAUACUUUUAAAUUUUAUUUUCAUAUUUUACUUAAAUAAAAUAAAAAGAUUUAAUUAUUGCCUGUAAUAAUAAAUUUUUAAGAUUAUUUAUUUACUUAUAAUAUUAACUAUUAAGUAAAUAUAUUCAUGUCCUUAUUCGUAACUUAAUACUUAAAAGCACUUUCUGAAAAAUUUGGCCAAACACAAAUUAUUGCUCAAAAGUAUUUUUCAGAGUGAUUAGCCAAACACAUAUUGCUUCUCUCAGAAAGUACUUUUUUCAAAAACACUUCUCAAAAUAAGCUGAUUUCUUCAGCUUGGCCAAACAAGCUAUUAAUAUUUUAUAUUUGCACCAUUCAUUUUUUGAGAUGAUUAUAUAUUUUUGUACAAUUAUAACUUAUAAUAAAUUAACUUACAAUUUUACAUAAAAAUAAUAAAUGCACGAAAAUUAAUUUAUCAAAAUUAUACGCCAAAGUUAAGAUAUAAAAUUAAUAUUAUAAAGAUAUUAUAUAAAUAUAAUUAGGUAUAUAUAAAGAGAUAAAUUAAAAGAAUUAAAUAAUAAAAAUAAUAAUAAAGUAAUAGGGAAUAGUAAUGGAGGAUGAAUAGUGUCACUCCAAAUACUAUUCACCCCCAUUUUGGCUAAGCCAAAUUUCUCCAAAAACUGACUGCAUUAUGACAAAAUGCAGCAGCGUUGGAGAUGGCCUCAACAUCGAGAAAUUGUCAUUUUGCAUUUAACUAGGAAUUCUUGGGUUCAUUCAAGAAAUAAUGAAGUGUCAAAUCUAACAGGUAACCUAUCAGUCCAACUUUAGAUAUUGAUUGCUUGCUAAAAGUUCACUUGACAAGCCAACCUUCUAGUCUAGCACAUGAUAAUAACCAAGAAAGCAAGUCCUAUCAUGGGGUGAUUGAUAUGAUAUAGUGGUUACUAUUUAGGUGUGGUCAGUUUCAUUAUGUCUUAAUUAAGAACUUCUAUUCCCACUCAAUUCCAGAAAUGGACUUAACGAUAAAGAAAAAGAAGAAAAUAAAAGCAGAACUCGUUGCGAAAAUAACAAAGGGUGUCUCCAUAAAUUGAUAUCUGAUGCAAUCAAUAAAGUUGAACUACGUAAAUACAUACUUUUGAAAAAGGAUAAAUUGACAAUCAAUUUUUCGAAUUGGGUUAGGCUUCUACUAAUGACCAUCAUUUCCUUAAGUGCACACUUAUCACAUAUGUUAAUCACUAUUUCAAGCCAGAAAAUUCAACUAUCAAUUUCACUACAACUUAAUUCUUUUGUUUAAUUGAUAUAUAGUUUUGGUUUCCAUAUUGAUUAUGUAGUGAAUCAAGCUUUAGCAACUCUAGCAUUUUUUGGAGUUGGAGUGAAUUUGGUGUUGUUCUUGACAAGAGUGCUGAAAGAAAACAAUGCUGAUGCUGCUAAUAGUGUUAGCAAAUGGACUGGCACAGUCUAUAUAUGCUCCCUUGUUGGUGCUUUUCUUAGUGACUCUUACUGGGGAAGAUUCAAAACAUGUGCCAUUUUUCAAGUCAUCUAUGUAACUGUAAGUAUCCAUUACCUCCUAUCAUACUUCUGUACAUAUUGAAAAACCAAUCAAGAAGAUUUAACAUUGACUACUACCAUCAUCCUGCACUAGCGCGAUUCCUGCUAAUUGUUAGUGUUGAUUGUAAUCAAAGGCUGAUGGAGCCUAUGUUUACUUGGUUAAACUAAACUCGGUAUUUCCGGAACUAUGUGUGUAUAUCUAUACAUAUAUUGAGAAAUACUAAAAUUUCAACAAAAAUUAAAUUCUGAACCCCAUGAUUUCAAAAGUACAAAGGGUCCAAUGCUAAGAACCUUAAAGGCGGAACCUAUCAAGUUUAAAUCUUGAAUUCGUCUCAGAUUGUAAUAGUCCUCGGUCUUGCUCUUACUAAGUUUGGAACAUCAUUGACAGGGAUUGGCAUUACUAGCACUAGCAUCACAACUCUACUUGCUCAAACCUAAAGGUUGUGGGGAUCGAAUGACUCUAUGUGGAGAACAUUCAACCAUGGGGAUUGGUCUAUUCUACAUUUCUGUGUACAUGAUUGCACUAGGAUAUGGAGGUUAUCAGCCAAAUAUUGCUACCUUCGGGGCCGAUCAGUUUGACGAGCAGCAUCCGAGGGAGUCUCAAUCUAAAGUUGCCUUCUUCAGCUACUUCUACUUGUUCAUGAAUCUCGGGUCGCUCUUCUCCAACACCAUUUUGGACUACUUUGAGGAUGAAGGAAUGUGGGCUCUUGGUUUUUGGGCAUCUGCAGCCUCGGCUUUUGCAGCAUUAAUGCUCUUUCUUGGAGGCACUGCAAGGUACAGACACUUCAAGUCUAGUGGCAAUCCUCUAACAAGGUUUGCUCAAGUUUUAGUUGCAGCAACAAAGAAGAGUAGAGUGGAAACACCAGAAAAUGAAGAUGACUUCUACCAAGGGGAAGACGACGACAACACAACUGGUGGUAGAAAAAUGCUACACACCCACGGUUUCAAGUAAGCAGAAAUACACUUAGGAGUUCAAUCCACUAUGUCUACAAAUAUCUCAAAUUUAUGACCUGACUCUGUCAUUCGUUUAUCAUUGAUGACUAGUCUAUUUGCCAUUCUAUAAUGCACUAAACUAGAUUUUUCAUGUUGCAGAUUCUUGGACAGAGCAGCUGUGGUGACAUCAAGGGAACUUGACGACCAGAAGCAGAGCGAUCACAACCCGUGGCGCCUCUGUCCUAUUUCACAAGUUGAGGAGGUUAAAUGCAUUUUGAGACUGCUGCCAAUUUGGCUAUGUACCAUUAUCUACUCUGUAGUUUUCACACAAAUGGCCUCGCUCUUUGUCGAGCAAGGCGAUGCCAUGAAAACUACGAUAGCAAACUUCAGGAUUCCAGCUGCAAGCAUGUCUACCUUUGACAUCCUUAGUGUAGCAGGCGUCAUAUUUCUCAACCGCAGAGUUCUUAAUCCACUAGUCAGUAGGUUUAAAAAGUGCAAGGGUGAUCAUACUGGGCUAACUGAACUUCAAAGGAUGGGUAUUGGACUAGUCAUAGCAGUGAUGGCUAUGCUUUCUGCAGGAAUUGUGGAGUGCUACAGGCUAAAGUAUGCUAGUAAUGACUGCAAAAACUGUGAAGGCUCAAGCUCUCUUAAUAUCUUCUGGCAAGUCCCUCAAUAUGCUUUUAUAGGAGCUUCAGAAGUAUUCAUGUAUGUAGGCCAAUUGGAAUUCUUCAAUGCACAAGCACCCGAUGGACUUAAAAGCUUUGGAAGUGCACUAUGCAUGACAUCGAUAUCAUUAGGGAACUAUGUGAGUAGCUUACUUGUGAGCGUAGUGAUGAAAAUAUCAGCAACUGACAACAUGCCGGGAUGGAUACCAGGAAACCUUAACAAAGGUCAUUUAGACAGAUUCUAUUUUCUAUUAGCUGGUUUGACAUUAAUAGAUUUGGUUGCCUAUAUUGCAUGUGCUAAGUGGUACAAGAAUAUUAAGCAUAGCGAAAAGAUUCAGGAACACGAGGAAGAUGACAAGUGUGAAGUCUAACAUACCUGAUAUGGAUCUUACUUUAGGGAUGUUUGCCAGAGACAUAUAAAUAAGAGGAAGAUAUGCUGUCACUGCAACAUUUUGUCUAGAUUUUCUGCUUGGUAUUUGGAUUUUCUUCCUCUCAACGCUCCAAACUCAGUCAACUCAAAAUACUCAGCUCUGCAGAAUUCUUCAGGGAGCUGAACUCCUCUUAAUGUCUAUGUCAUCCUUUCUCCUUGUUGCUGCAUUUGUUCGCUCUGUCAUAUUAGUUUUACAAUUGACAAGCAUAUUGGAUUGUAAAUGAAUUGGCUUUUCCUGUAACCAAGAAACUGUUGAACAAUAUUGAUGUACCCUAAAAGAUUUGUGUCUGAAAAGAUCUCUUUAUUUAACAUGCAAUUCAGAGCUAGAAAAGCCAGUAUCCACCUUAAUAAAAAAAAAUUGCAUGGUAUGUUUGGGUAAGAUGGACACAAAUACUAUAUCUGUAAAUCCUAUUGCCAACAAAGUGCAUAAAGAAAUUCUAUUUGAUUUUCUAAAUGGCUGGAGCAUAAGGUUAGAUGGCUGUACAUAUAGAAAUCUCAAGAGCUCUUUUUUUCAGCAGAAGCAUUUUCAUCACAAAAUAAGUUCCACAAAGAACAUGAAAUUAUUUACUAGUUGCAAAAUAUGACUAUCCCAAGAGGAUUCAUGUCAUCAAACAGAAUGCAUGUUCUGAGGAAAAGAAACACAAGAUUAGAAACUAAACCAAAAAGGCUUUUAUAUUGUUUUGCUUUAUCUAUGAUGUUGAUGUAUUCUUUUCGAGGUCUGGUAAACCAAGAAAAUUGAUAAGGAACUGGGAUGAUGAUGACUAGAAAUGGUGAAAUCUGAACGAUAAUGCAACAUGAAGAUAUUCAACUACAACCUUUCGCCCACAGGAAAGUUAGAAAGAUAAUACAGCAGCAGAAUUACAAGCAAUUUCGGAAAGUAGAGAAUGUGAAGUAUCUUGCCACUGAUUUGUCCAAUGAAGCAUUUAGGGUUCAUGAUUCCCCAGGUCUCUAAAACUUAAUAAGAAAAUAUUCUCACAGCUGAGAAGGAAGCCAAAUUAGACUUGAACCAUGGACAACUGUUUCCACAUUGUAGAAAACACUCUUUGAUGCACCAACCAAAAUGAUAUAACAAUUCUAAGAACAAGACUCUAUAAUCGAAAACUUUCUACUCUUAAGGAAUUUCUAUAUUUCAUCACAGAAGGAAUAAGUUAGAGCUAAAAAGCAACUGUGUUUAGGAAAAAAUGACAAAUGCAGAUUACUCAACCUGAUUUCAAUUUAAAUAAACGGUUACAGCAUAAAUCAACUUUGAACCUUACAAACUUGUGUAUGGUGCAGAUUUUCUACGCCAGUUGGUUGUGCUCCAC
rnacentral:lncRNA from 1 species